rnacentral:rRNA from 1 species
UGGGGAAUUUUGGACAAUGGGGGCAACCCUGAUCCAGCCAUGCCGCGUGUCUGAAGAAGGCCUUCGGGUUGUAAAGGACUUUUGUUAGGGAGGAAAAGGGAAGUGCUAAUACCACUUUUUGCUGACGGUACCUAAAGAAUAAGCACCGGCUAACUACGUGCCAGCAGCCGCGGUAAUACGUAGGGUGCGAGCGUUAAUCGGAAUUACUGGGCGUAAAGCGAGCGCAGACGGUUACUUAAGCAGGAUGUGAAAUCCCCGGGCUCAACCCGGGAACUGCGUUCUGAACUGGGUAGCUAGAGUAUGUCAGAGGGGGGUAGAAUUCCACGUGUAGCAGUGAAAUGCGUAGAGAUGUGGAGGAAUACCGAUGGCGAAGGCAGCCCCCUGGGAUAAUACUGACGUUCAUGCUCGAAAGCGUGGGUAGCAAACAGGAUUAGAUACCCUGGUAGUCCACGCCCUAAACGAUGUCGAUUAGCUGUUGGGCAGCUUGACUGCUUAGUAGCGAAGCUAACGCGUGAAAUCGACCGCCUGGGGAGUACGGUCGCAAGAUUA